rnacentral:rRNA from 1 species
GGUUAAGUUAGAAAGGGCGCACGGUGGAUGCCUUGACACUAGGAGUCGAUGAAGGACGGGACUAACGCCGAUAUGCUUCGGGGAGCUGUAAGUAAGCUUUGAUCCGAAGAUUUCCGAAUGGGGAAACCCACCAUACGUAAUGGUAUGGUAUCCUUAUCUGAAUACAUAGGGUAAGGAAGACAGACCCAGGGAACUGAAACAUCUAAGUACCUGGAGGAAGAGAAAGCAAAUGCGAUUUCCUGAGUAGCGGCGAGCGAAACGGAACAUAGCCCAAACCAAGAGGCUUGCCUCUUGGGGUUGUAGGACAUUCUAUACGGAGUUACAAAGGAACGAGGUAGACGAAGCGACCUGGAAAGGUCCGUCGUAGAGGGUAACAACCCCGUAGUCGAAACUUCGUUCUCUCUUGAAUGUAUCCUGAGUACGGCGGAACACGUGAAAUUCCGUCGGAAUCUGGGAGGACCAUCUCCCAAGGCUAAAUACUCCCUAGUGAUCGAUAGUGAACCAGUACCGUGAGGGAAAGGUGAAAAGCACCCCGGAAGGGGAGUGAAAGAGAUCCUGAAACCGUGUGCCUACAAAUAGUCAGAGCCCGUUAACGGGUGAUGGCGUGCCUUUUGUAGAAUGAACCGGCGAGUUACGAUCCCGUGCAAGGUUAAGCUGAAGAGGCGGAGCCGCAGCGAAAGCGAGUCUGAAUAGGGCGUUUAGUACGUGGUCGUAGACCCGAAACCAGGUGAUCUACCCAUGUCCAGGGUGAAGUUCAGGUAACACUGAAUGGAGGCCCGAACCCACGCACGUUGAAAAGUGCGGGGAUGAGGUGUGGGUAGCGGAGAAAUUCCAAUCGAACCUGGAGAUAGCUGGUUCUCCCCGAAAUAGCUUUAGGGCUAGCCUUAAGUGUAAGAGUCUUGGAGGUAGAGCACUGAUUGGACUAGGGGUCCUCAUCGGAUUACCGAAUUCAGUCAAACUCCGAAUGCCAAUGACUUAUCCUUAGGAGUCAGACUGCGAGUGAUAAGAUCCGUAGUCAAAAGGGAAACAGCCCAGACCGCCAGCUAAGGUCCCAAAGUGUGUAUUAAGUGGAAAAGGAUGUGGAGUUGCUUAGACAACUAGGAUGUUGGCUUAGAAGCAGCCACCAUUUAAAGAGUGCGUAAUAGCUCACUAGUCGAGUGACUCUGCGCCGAAAAUGUACCGGGGCUAAAUACACCACCGAAGCUGCGGAUUGAUACCAAUGGUAUCAGUGGUAGGGGAGCGUUCUAAGGACAGUGAAGUCAGACCGUAAGGACUGGUGGAGUGCUUAGAAGUGAGAAUGCCGGUAUGAGUAGCGAAAGACGGGUGAGAAUCCCGUCCACCGAAUGCCUAAGGUUUCCUGAGGAAGGCUCGUCCGCUCAGGGUUAGUCAGGACCUAAGCCGAGGCCGACAGGCGUAGGCGAUGGACAACAGGUUGAUAUUCCUGUACCACCUCUUUAUCGUUUGAGCAAUGGAGGGACGCAGAAGGAUAGAAGAAGCGUGCGAUUGGUUGUGCACGUCCAAGCAGUUAGGCUGAUAAGUAGGCAAAUCCGCUUAUCAUAAAGGCUGAGCUGUGAUGGGGAAGCUCCUUAUGGAGCGAAGUCUUUGAUUCCCCGCUGCCAAGAAAAGCUUCUAGCGAGAUAAAAGGUGCCUGUACCGCAAACCGACACAGGUAGGCGAGGAGAGAAUCCUAAGGUGUGCGAGAGAACUCUGGUUAAGGAACUCGGCAAAAUGACCCCGUAACUUCGGGAGAAGGGGUGCUUUCUUAACGGAAAGCCGCAGUGAAUAGGCCCAAGCGACUGUUUAGCAAAAACACAGCUCUCUGCGAAGCCGUAAGGCGAAGUAUAGGGGGUGACACCUGCCCGGUGCUGGAAGGUUAAGGAGAGGGGUUAGCGUAAGCGAAGCUCUGAACUGAAGCCCCAGUAAACGGCGGCCGUAACUAUAACGGUCCUAAGGUAGCGAAAUUCCUUGUCGGGUAAGUUCCGACCCGCACGAAAGGUGUAACGAUUUGGGCACUGUCUCAACCAGAGACUCGGUGAAAUUAUAGUACCUGUGAAGAUGCAGGUUACCCGCGACAGGACGGAAAGACCCCGUGGAGCUUUACUGUAGCCUGAUAUUGAAUUUUGGUACAGUUUGUACAGGAUAGGCGGGAGCCAUUGAAACCGGAGCGCUAGCUUCGGUGGAGGCGCUGGUGGGAUACCGCCCUGACUGUAUUGAAAUUCUAACCUACGGGUCUUAUCGACCCGGGAGACAGUGUCAGGUGGGCAGUUUGACUGGGGCGGUCGCCUCCUAAAGUGUAACGGAGGCGCCCAAAGGUUCCCUCAGAAUGGUUGGAAAUCAUUCGUAGAGUGCAAAGGCAUAAGGGAGCUUGACUGCGAGACCUACAAGUCGAGCAGGGACGAAAGUCGGGCUUAGUGAUCCGGUGGUUCCGCAUGGAAGGGCCAUCGCUCAACGGAUAAAAGCUACCCCGGGGAUAACAGGCUUAUCUCCCCCAAGAGUCCACAUCGACGGGGAGGUUUGGCACCUCGAUGUCGGCUCAUCGCAUCCUGGGGCUGUAGUCGGUCCCAAGGGUUGGGCUGUUCGCCCAUUAAAGCGGUACGCGAGCUGGGUUCAGAACGUCGUGAGACAGUUCGGUCCCUAUCCGUCGUGGGCGUAGGAAAUUUGAGAGGAGCUGUCCUUAGUACGAGAGGACCGGGAUGGACGCACCGCUGGUGUACCAGUUGUUCUGCCAAGGGCAUAGCUGGGUAGCUAUGUGCGGAAGGGAUAAGUGCUGAAAGCAUCUAAGCAUGAAGCCCCCCUCAAGAUGAGAUUUCCCAUAGCGUAAGCUAGUAAGAUCCCUGAAAGAUGAUCAGGUUGAUAGGUUCGAGGUGGAAGCAUGGUGACAUGUGGAGCUGACGAAUACUAAUAGAUCGAGGACUUAACCAU